rnacentral:rRNA from 1 species
ACAUAUUGGAAACGACUGCUAAUACCGCAUACNCCCUACGGGGGAAAGGAGGGGACCUUCGGGCCUUUCGCGAUUGGAUGAACCCAGUGUGGGAUUAGCUAGUUGGUGGGGUAAUGGCUCACCANGGUGACGAUCCCUAGCUGNUCUGANAGGAUGAUCAGCCACACUGGAACUGAAACACGGUCCAGACUCCUACGGGAGNAAGCAGUGGGGAAUAUUGCACAAUGGGGGAAACCCUGAUGCAGCCAUGCCGCGUGUGUGAAGAAGGCCUUCGGGUUGUAAAGCACUUUCAGCGAGGAGGAAAGGUUGGCGCCUAAUACGUGUCAACUGUGACGUUACUCGCAGAAGAAGCACCGGCUAACUCCGUGCCAGCAGCCGCGGUAAUACGGAGGGUGCAAGCGUUAAUCGGAAUUACUGGGCGUAAAGCGCACGCAGGCGGUUGGAUAAGUUAGAUGUGAAAGCCCCGGGCUCAACCUGGGAAUUGCAUUUAAAACUGUCCAGCUAGAGUCUUGUAGAGGGGGGUAGAAUUCCAGGUGUAGCGGUGAAAUGCGUAGAGAUCUGGAGGAAUACCGGUGGCGAAGGCGGCCCCCUGGACAAAGACUGACGCUCAGGUGCGAAAGCGUGGGGAGCAANCAGGAUUAGAUACCCUGGUAGUCCACGCCGUAAACGAUGUCNAUUUGGANGCUGUGUCCUUGAAACGUGGCUU